rnacentral:rRNA from 1 species
UACGUAGGGGGCAAGCGUUGUCCGGAUUUACUGGGCGUAAAGCGCGCGUAGGCGGCACGAUCAGUCCGGUCUGAAAUCCCUCGGCUUAACCGGGGAACUGCGUCUGAUACUGGAUGGCUUGAGUUCGGGAGAGGGAUGCGGAAUUCCAGGUGUAGCGGUGAAAUGCGUAGAUAUCUGGAGGAACACCGGUGGCGAAGGCGGCAUCCUGGACCGACACUGACGCUGAGGAGCGAAAGCCAGGGGAGCAAACGGG